UACGUAGGGUGCAAGCGUUUAAUCGGAAUUACUGGGCGUAAAGCGCGUGUAGGCGGUUCGGUAAGUCCGCUGUGAAAGUCGGGGGCUCAACCCUCGGAUGCCGGUGGAUACUGUCGAGCUUGAGUACGGAAGAGGCGAGUGGAAUUCCUGGUGUAGCGGUGAAAUGCGCAGAUAUCAGGAGGAACACCAAUUGCGAAGGCAGCUCGCUGGGACGUUACUGACGCUGAGACGCGAAAGCGUGGGGGAGCAAACAGG
rnacentral:rRNA from 1 species